UGUAAGUACUCUAGAUCGAGCAUGCGCUAGUCGUCGUAGCAAGGUGAGAGAUGAUCAGCGGUGAGAUGGACGAGUAAUGCCUGGGAAUCUGCCUGGUAGUGGGGGACAACGUUCCGAAAGGAGCGCUAAUACCGCAUACGUCCUACGGGAGAAAGUGGGGGAUCUUCGGACCUCACGCUAUCAGAUGAGCCUAGGUCGGAUUAGCUAGUAGGUGGGGUAAUGGCUCACCUAGGCGACGAUCCGUAACUGGUCUGAGAGGAUGAUCAGUCACACUGGAACUGAGACACGGUCCAGACUCCUACGGGAGGCAGCAGUGGGGAAUAUUGGACAAUGGGCGAAAGCCUGAUCCAGCCAUGCCGCGUGUGUGAAGAAGGUCUUCGGAUUGUAAAGCACUUUAAGUUGGGAGGAAGGGCAGUAAGUAAUACCUUGCUGUUUUGACGUUACCAACAGAAUAAGCACCGGCUAACUUCGUGCCAGCAGCCGCGGUAAUACGAAGGGUGCAAGCGUUAAUCGGAAUUACUGGGCGUAAAGCGCGCGUAGGUGGUUUGGUAAGAUGGAUGUGAAAUCCCCGGGCUCAACCUGGGAACUGCAUCCAUAACUGCCUGACUAGAGUACGGUAGAGGGUGGUGGAAUUUCCUGUGUAGCGGUGAAAUGCGUAGAUAUAGGAAGGAACACCAGUGGCGAAGGCGACCGCCUGGUACUGAUACUGACACUGAGGUGCGAAAGCGUGGGGAGCAAACAGGAUUAGAUACCCUGGUAGUCCACGCCGUAAACGAUGUCGACUAGCCGUUGGGAUCCUUGAGAUCUUAGUGCGCAGCUAACGCGAUAAGUCGACCGCCUGGGGAGUACGGCCGCAAGGUUAAAACU
rnacentral:rRNA from 1 species